rnacentral:rRNA from 1 species
GUAGUCAUAUGCUUGUCUCAAAGAUUAAGCCAUGCAUGUCUAAGUAUAAGCAAAUCUAUACUGUGAAGCUGCGAACGGCUCAUUAAAUCAGUUAUAGUUUAUUUGAUGGUACCUUACUACAUGGAUAACUGUGGUAAUUCUAGAGCUAAUACAUGCCGAAAAGGCCCCUCACGGGGUUGUAUUUAUUAGAUUAAAGACCGUUGGCUUUCGGGCCAUUGGGUGAAUCAUGAUAACUGCUCGGAGCGUAUGGCCUUGCGCCGACGCCGCUUCAUCCAAAUACCUGCCCUAUCAGCUUUUGAUGGUAGUGUAGUGGACUACCAUGGCUCUCACGGGUAACGUGGAAUUAGGGUUCGAUUCCGGAGAGAGAGCCUGAGAAACGGCUCUCAUAACUAAGGUUAGCAGCAGGCGCGCAAAUUAUCCACUCUCAAUUCGAGGAGAUAGUGACAAGAAAUAACAAUAGAGGGCUCUUUUGGGUCUUCUAAUUGGAAUGAGAACAAUCUAAAUCCCUUAACGAGGAUCAAUUGGGGGGCAAGUCUGGUGCCAGCAGCC